CUUCAACAUGUUCCUCCUACAUUCUUCGGCUCCUCCUAAUCUUCACACCAUAAACCGGGCCCUUCCUCUUUCUGCUGUCCUCCUGGCCUCUGCCUGGGCCCUCCUCCUCCCACCUGUCUGUCCCUCCUGUGUCUUGGCACCACUGCCCACAGAAGAAGACGGGCAUGAUGGACACGGAUGAUUUCCGCGCCUGCCUUAUCUCCAUGGGUUACAACAUGGUAAUGUAAACCCCAUCCUCCACCUGCCAGGCUUUCUCUUGCCCUGGCCUGGAGGCAGCCACCUGACUGGAGAAGCUAAGUCUUAGAAAUGGUGGACGAAGGCUCUUAGGUUAGAACUGCCCUCCUCAGGGGGAGUCUCAUCGCCAUCCUUGGGGAAAGUGGCACCUGAAAAAUAGCCCACCCGUGGCAUCAGGGUGUGGCUGGGAAGCUUGGCCUCCUCCUCAUGGUCUCUGACCAGUUUAUCUUAUGGUACAUACUGUGGAAAAAGGGCUUUUUCACCCCCACAGUGGACACCAGCUAUGGACAGCCAACCCCAAGGCUUAUGGAGUGAUAAUUCUGCUUUGUCCCAUAUGAGAAUGGAAGUUUAUACUUCUGCCCAGAUAACAGCUCCAUCCAGACCACUCUUGGCCCAGGCCUCUCUCUAGUCUUGUUCUGUCCCCUCUGUAUCCGGCUUUCUGAGCAGGAUAGGACCUUAGCUGGACAGAAGGGUGUCCAUUGAACCGAGUACAGAGCCCAUGGGAUGCCCAGCAGGGUUAAAGGCUAGACCAGAAGUAUACUCAGUAAAUCACAUUGCCAUCCAGGUCUUGUGGUCUCAGAUGAAGUGAGGAAGCCUCAUGAAGUGGUUGUAAGAGUUAAAUAAAGUGAUUUCGAGUACUGUGCACACGUCUGGCACAGUGUUAGGGAAACAGCAAAUGUUGGAGCCAAACUGCCUGAGCCUUAAUCCCAGCUCCCUACCUACUGGCUGUGUGACCUUGGGCAAGUCACUUAGCCUGUGUGGGCCUCAGAUUUCCCAUGCAAUGGAACACUAUGAUUGUAUUCAGUUGCGAUGACAAGAUGAAUUUAGAAUAGUAGAUGGCAUAUAAUACAUGUUGUGUGGGUGUUAGCCAUUGUUCAUUUUAUUGUCAUUAUAAUUAAUACUGCCAUCAUUUCCUAUAAAGGAAACCAAGGGCACUGCAGGGGGUUGGGGGGUUGGAAAUCCUGAAAAUCCCAACUAUUGAGUCACGUUCAUACCCUGGGGCAACCCAAGCCAGAUCAGAGGUCUGUUGUGCCCUCCUGUUCCAACCAUAGGCUACUUAGGGCUGGACGUACACCUGAGACACCCAGUAGGCCACUAGGGUGACAGGUGUGUGUUGGCUGUUUCCUCUAGGGAGAGGCAGAAUUUGCCCGGAUCAUGAGCAUUGUAGACCCAAACCGCUUGGGGGUAGUGACGUUCCAGGCCUUCAUCGACUUCAUGUCCCGAGAGACGGCUGACACAGAUACAGCGGAUCAGGUCAUGGCUUCCUUCAAGAUCCUGGCUGGAGAUAAGAAUUACAUCACCGGGGAUGAGCUGCGCCGCGAGCUGCCACCUGACCAAGCCGAGUACUGCAUCGCGAGAAUGGCCCCCUACGCGGGCCCUGACUCCGUGCCGGGUGCUCUA
rnacentral:lncRNA from 1 species